UCAUGUUUUUUGCUGCCAUUAAGCAUAAAUUACGUGCAUAUUAUUUGGUGGACGUGAAUACGAGCUGUAUGUAGUGAGUGCACUUUUUGAGCAAAGUCAAUUGCAUAUUAAACACCAAGUUAUAGUGUAUUUAUAUUAAUUCAGUCUCAGUCUCAAACGUGUUCAGAUAAUGUUUAGAAAUUCUGCUCUUUUAAAUGUUGAUAUUUCAACAACACAGUUGAAAAAUGGUUUUUGAUGUCUCGUCACUGUAUUAAUUAUGUCACUGUUAACUUACAAUGAAAGUCUUUCACAUGUAUAAAUCCGAUAUUGGUGAGAGCUAUUUUAUUUUGUUCGCUACAAAAAACUAAGCAGAUUCCACUAUUUUUCCGAACGUGAAAAAUCACCAAAAUAUUCUUAAGCCAAAACCUUAUUUUUUAAUGUGGUAGCUUUUCUAUUUUUGGCAAGAUUUCAAAAAUUUCAAAACAUGCAUUUCAAAAAAUUUUAAUUUUGCCUAGGAUUUCGUGAAGUUAAAAAAGGAGCAAAAAAUCCAAAAGCUCCAAAUUUUCGAAAAUACAUUUUUGAAGAAUUAAGCAGCUAAUUCUAAGAAUAAUAGUUUUUCUAAUUCUUUAUUAAAUCAAAAUUGGAAAUUUUACAGAGUAACUGCGUACAGUAUAAAAUUAAAAUUGGUCCCAUCAAAAUCAGAGUUAUUCACCUGAAAGAUUUACAUUGCCACAAGCUGACGCUGCAAAUGUGGACUGUUGUGGGGACCAAAUCAACUCUCGAGAGGUAAAGGACAGAUAUCAGACACGGAAACAAAUUGCAAACAAUUUACAAAUCCAAUCUCCAGAUAAAUCUGCACUAGUAUGAUAACGGUUGGAGAGAUCAUCAUCCCCACUACACUUUAUAACCGGGCCAGGCGGAGUGACUAAUUGAUCAUUUCAUUCCAUGACCAUUUACCUCCUCUCCAAAGGGCAAACCUCAAUUGCACCACCACAAAAGUGCAUUUCCUACUCGUCUAUAUGCACAAAUUUCGUCUCCAGUCCCGUCAUUCACCGUCAUAUUCACAACCAUUUUAUGACAUGAACAUACUUUUUAAUACACCAAAUCUCAGCAUUACGAUC